rnacentral:tRNA from 1 species
GCGCCUGUAGUUUAGUGGUAGAAUCGGAGCCUUCCAAGCUUCUGGCCUGGGUUCGAAUCCCAGCAGGCGCA